UACGUAGGGUGCAAGCGUUAAUCGGAAUUACUGGGCGUAAAGCGCACGUAGGCGGCUUUGUAAGUUAGAGGUGAAAGCCUGGAGCUCAACUCCAGAAUUGCCUUUAAGACUGCAUCGCUUGAAUCCAGGAGAGGUGAGUGGAAUUCCGAGUGUAGAGGUGAAAUUCGUAGAUAUUCGGAAGAACACCAGUGGCGAAGGCGGCUCACUGGACUGGUAUUGACGCUGAGGUGCGAAAGCGUGGGGAGCAAACAGG
rnacentral:rRNA from 1 species